GCUAUCGCCAAGCGGUAAGGCACAGGACUUUGACUCCUGCACUCGUGGGUUCGAAUCCCGCUAGC
rnacentral:tRNA from 1 species